rnacentral:rRNA from 1 species
GACGUAGGGCGCGAGCGUUGUCCGGAUUUAUUGGGCGUAAAGAGCUCGUAGGCGGCUUGUCGCGUCGACUGUGAAAACUCGGGGCUCAACUCCGAGCUUGCAGUCGAUACGGGCAGGCUAGAGUUCGGUAGGGGAGACUGGAAUUCCUGGUGUAGCGGUGAAAUGCGCAGAUAUCAGGAGGAACACCGGUGGCGAAGGCGGGUCUCUGGGUAGUAACUGGCGCUGAGGAACGAAAGCGUGGGUAGCGAACAGG